CCUACGGGUGGCAGCAGUGAGGAAUAUUGGUCAAUGGACGCAAGUCUGAACCAGCCAUGCCGCGUGCGGGAAGACGGCUCUCUGAGUUGUAAACUGCUUUUGUACGGGGGUAAACUCAGUUACCUGUAUCUGUCUGAAAGUAUCGUACGAGUAAGGAUCGGCUAGCUCCGUGCCAGCAGCCGCGGUAAUACGGAGGAUUCAAGCGUUGUCCGGAUUUAUUGGGUUUAACGGGUGCGUAGGCGGUUUGAUAAGUUAGAGGUGAAAUCCCGGGGCUCAACUUCGGAAUUGCCUCUGAUACUGUUCGGCUAGAGAGUAGUUGCGGUAGGCGGAAUGUAUGGUGUAGCGGUGAAAUGCUUAGAGAUCAUACAGAACACCGAUUGCGAAGGCAGCUUUCCA
rnacentral:rRNA from 1 species